UACAGAGGUCUCAAGCGUUGUUCGGAUUCAUUGGGCGUAAAGGGUGCGUAGGCGGCGCGGUAAGUCGGGUGUGAAAUCUUGGAGCUUAACUCCGAAACUGCAUUCGAUACUGCCGUGCUUGAGGACUGGAGAGGAGACUGGAAUUUACGGUGUAGCGGCGAAAUGCGUAGAUAUCGUAAGGAAGACCAGUGGCGAAGGCGGGUCUCUGGACAGUUCCUGACGCUGAGGCACGAAGGCCAGGGGAGCAAACGGG
rnacentral:rRNA from 1 species